ensembl:lncRNA
CGGUUGUUUGGGGAGGACCCCUAAUCACCUGUUAGCCCCCAGCAUGCUGUCGACCCGCAGCCAAAUCUCAAGCGCCAGUCAAGGCUUCUCUGUCAACAAGCCUCGUCACCAGCCUCUGGCGUGGUUCUGCCUGUGUCUACGCCCUCCAUUGCGGUCCCUCCUAUACGUCGCCGGCCACCUUCCGGCCCUCGUUCAGCCUCCAUCGCGGUUCUGAAAGUUGUUUUACUCGCUCCCAGAUCUCCUGUUUGCCCUUUUCAACACCCAGGCCGUCCACCUAAGGUUUCCGGCUUGACUUAGGCUUUGAGGCCACUUGCCCCUGAAACCCUCCUCAAUACCUUCUCAACCCACCCUGCCUGGUUUUCCUGACUGGCCUUGUGCCAUGUCUUGAAUCCGUCCUUUGCACCUGCCCCUCAUUCCAACCAUUAACCACUUAUAUACCAUUUCGCUUUAUUUGUUCCC